GCCUGGAUGGCUCAGUCGGUUGAGUGUUUGAUUUGGCUCAGGUCAUGAUCUCACAGUUUGUGGGUUCAAGCCCCACGCUGGGCU
rnacentral:tRNA from 1 species